AAGUCGUAACAAGGUCUCCGUUGGUGAACCAGCGGAGGGAUCAUUACCGAGUUUACAACUCCCAAACCCCUGUGAACAUACCUAUCGUUGCUUCGGCGGAUCCGCCCUGGCGCCUUCCGGCCCGGACUCAGGCGCCCGCCGGGGGACCCUAACUCUUGGAUUUCUUUAGUAUCUUCUGAGUAAACAAGCAAAUAAAUUAAAACUUUCAACAACGGAUCUCUUGGUUCUGGCAUCGAUGAAGAACGCAGCGAAAUGCGAUAAGUAAUGUGAAUUGCAGAAUUCCGUGAAUCAUCGAAUCUUUGAACGCACAUUGCGCCCGCCAGUAUUCUGGCGGGCAUGCCUGUUCGAGCGUCAUUUCAACCCUCAAGCCCCCGGGCUUGGUGUUGGGGCUCGGCCCGUCCCUAGCGGCGCGCCGUCCCCGAAAUCUAGUGGCGGUCACGCUGUACUCCUCUGCGUAGUAAUCUAACCUCGCAACGGGACAAAGCGCGGCCACGCCGUUAAAACCCCCAACUUCUGAAGGUUGACCUCGGAUCAGGUAGGAAUACCCGCUGAACUUAAGCAUAUCAAUAAGCGGAGGAAAAGAAACCAACAGGGAUUGCCCCAGUAACGGCGAGUGAAGCGGCAACAGCUCAAAUUUGAAAUCUGGCCCCCGGGUCCGAGUUGUAAUUUGUAGAGGAUGCUUUUGGUGAGGUACCUUCCGAGUUCCCUUGAACGGGACGCCAUAGAGGGUGAGAGCCCCGUCUGGUCGGAUACCGAUCCUCUGUAAAGCUCCUUCGACGAGUCGAGUAGUUUGGGAAUGCUGCUCUAAAUGGGAGGUAUAUGUCUUCUAAAGCUAAAUAUAGGCCAGAGACCGAUAGCGCACAAGUAGAGUGAUCGAAAGAUGAAAAGCACUUUGAAGAGAGGGUUAAACAGUACGUGAAAUUGUUGAAAGGGAAGCGCUUGUGACCAGGCUUGGGCCCGGUUAAUCAUCCAGCGUUCUCGCUGGUGCACUUGGCCGGCCCAGGCCAGCAUCAGUUCGGCGUGGGGGAUAAAGGCGGCGGGAAUGUGGCUCCUCCGGGAGUGUUAUAGCCCGCCGUGUAAUACCCUGUGCUGGACUGAGGUUCGCGCUUUCGCAAGGAUGCUGGCGUAAUGGUCAUUAGCGACC
rnacentral:rRNA from 1 species